rnacentral:rRNA from 1 species
GACAAACGCUGGCGGCGUGCCUAAUACAUGCAAGUCGAGCGAGACUCUUCGGAGUCUAGCGGCGGACGGGUGAGUAACACAUGGGCAACCUGCCUGUAAGACUGGGAUAACACCGGGAAACCGGUGCUAAUACCGGAUAAUCCUUUUUCUCUCAUGAGGAAAAGCUGAAAGUCGGUUUCGGCUGACACUUACAGAUGGGCCCGCGGCGCAUUAGCUAGUUGGUGAGGUAACGGCUCACCAAGGCGACGAUGCGUAGCCGACCGGGGAGGGUGAUCGGCCACACUGGGACUGAGACACGGCCCAGACUCCUACGGGAGGCAGCAGUAGGGAAUCUUCCACAAUGGACGAAAGUCUGAUGGAGCAACGCCGCGUGAGCGAUGAAGGCCUUCGGGUCGUAAAGCUCUGUUGUUAGGGAAGAAAAAGUACCGGAGUAACUGCCGGUACCUUGACGGUACCUAACCAGAAAGCCACGGCUAACUACGUGCCAGCAGCCGCCGUAA